GAGCAUGCAACUUGACCUUGGGGUUGUAAGUUUGAGCCCCAUGUUGGGUGUACGGAUUACUUAAAAUCUUGGAAAUACAGUUAUCUUUCGGCAGGCCCUUUUAAAAGAGAUAAUUGCCUAAGGACACGUGGGUGGCUCAGUCGGUUAAGCGUCCAAACUCCUGAUACCAGCUCAGCUUGUGAUCUCGCAGUCGUGAGGUUGGUGGAGUCUGCUCAGCUCGGAGCCUGCUUGAGAUUCUCUCUCCCCCUCUCUGCCCCUCUCCUGCUUGCAUGUGCGUGCUCUCUCUCUCUCAAGAUAAAUGAAAGUUGUUUUUUUUUUUUUAAAGAUAACUGCCUAAAAUUUCAUUUUUGCUACUUUACCAUCCUCCAAGGUGGCAUUAUAAGCCAUCAUUGUAGGAAUUUUCCUACUUUCGUUAGCCACACUAGGCAGCUUAUGGGGAUGCUGUGGAAUCUCUGUGUUCAUCAUCUGCCAGCAAAUGGAACUUCCAAUGCCUUCCUAUCUACUUCGCAGCUGGGACUAGCUUCCAGCGUGGUGACUCUGUGAUCCUCCUUUCCCGAGCACAGAGUUGAGAUCUGCCCCUCACAGCUGAAAGGACUAUCUUGCAACUGCCCGUGGGACGCUGGCAUCCAGAGGUGAGUCUUUUGCCCAGCUCUUUUUAAAUUUUAGCCAACUUUAAUCGAUUUAGCGGGUGCAACAUGCUGUUUGGGGGCUUUCCUCAUUCGUCAAGCCCUUAGACCAGUCGUGGCUCCCUCGGAGCCAGCUUUUAAAUCCCUUCCCACCCUAUUCCACCCUAGCAACAAAAACAGCUGCACGUACAGCUUGACCAGCAGCAAAAGUACAAACACUUCCUCCUCAGUUUUCCUUGCUAUUUUUAGUUUUAUUCCUACCCUGGGUUUUCUUUGGCUUUAUGUAGCGGUCAUCUGGGUCAGCUGACCCAUGCCUCUGAAGUAGAUGCCGCGUCUCUAAUUAGAGACCACUCAUUCCAUCUGCCUCCCAUUCUCUCUUCUCUCUCAUGGCUGUGGCUCAAGUGUUGCUGGUGGUCACUGUUUUUCUUUCCAUGGUGCCUCUCUGGUCUGUUGUGGAACUGAAGCCAAUUAGGAAGACCAGGAAAGGGGAAGCCAAGUUUGUAUGGAGGUCUGUGGGGAGGAGCAGUAGGCCGCGGAGAGUUGGUGGUUUAUUCAGAUUAUCCAAAGAUUCAGACCACUUUAAUAAUACGCUUUUCAGCUUUCUGACUUCACUUCUGUCAGCUGCCUAUCACUAUCGCAGUAGGUAGGUGUGGGGGGGGGGGGAAUGGACCUGUUGCCCACAGUAGGUGAGGAACAGCCAUCGGGAGGAUGGGAGUAGGAACAUAAAAUGUCUGACCAGGAAGGAGGUUUACCUCCAGGACCCCACCGUUCUCAUGAGGAAACCAAGGUCCCAGAGAUAAGAAGAUCAUUGUUUAGCUUCCAUGCCCAUUUCCUAGCGAGUCUUGUCCAGCCUAACUAGGACCAAAGGAGAAGGAAACACACAUGUGAGUGCCUGGGUGGCAGGGUGGGUUUCGAGCCAUUUCGAGAGGCAGAGACUGCAGCCGGAGCCCGCGUCUCUCGUGCGACCUGAGCCAGAGAAGAACAUUCUGGAACAGGAGAACCCCUGAAAAUUGAAUUUACUACUGCUACAGAUAGCUGUCAUUCCCUGUAAGGGCUGUGGGUACCCACCUUUCUAAACACCACGUGUUUUAUUUCACUGGAGCCUCAGAACAAGCCUAUGAGGAAGUCACAUUGCUAUCUCUACUUCACAAGUGAGGACAUUAAAGCAGAAGUUCAUUGCUUUCCUAACACUCUGCUAUCUGCCUCCUAACCAAGAAUAUAGUUCAAAAGAGAAAAAGUGAUCUACCGGAAGAUGUUCAGCACAUGCUUACUUAUCACAAAAAGUUGAAUGUAACUUAACCAUCUGACGGUUGAAGAGUGAUUAACUCCACAGAGUGCAAAUCGGCGGAACACAAUUCGAACUCUUAAAAUGAUCGUUGUAAUAAAUCCGUCGCGGGGCAGAAAGUUGUUUGUGACAUGUGUGGAAAACGGUGCAAGGGCAUGUACCUCCGCUGUGGUUUACAUGGCCACGACUAGAAGAAAACUUGAGAGAAUAAAAAGCUCAUGUAUUAAAAUGGGAC